rnacentral:miRNA from 1 species
CGUGGGGACCGGGGUCCGGUGCGGAGAGCCCCUCUUCCCAGAAAUGGGGCGCGUCC